CAUUGCCGGUCCCAAGCCCGGAUAAAGGAGGAGGGAGAAGGAUUGAUUUAUACUCUCAGUAUCAACUACUAACCCUUGUAUCCUUUUUAACUUCAGCUGGUUGGUGGACAUGAAGGAGAGCUACUCAUACAUGGUACCUUUCAGGUCCAAUUCUAUCCUAUACAAAUGUACAACCAGGAUAGAAAGAUCUCGCACAAUUGAGGCCAAAGAAAAAGAUCAAGUAGAUGCAAUCCUGAAAAUUUUGGUGGGUGCAGAGCCGAAGAAUUCGUUUUCUAGCUUCUCAAUUGGUGUAAAAGAUAAUCCUUUGAAGCAACCCGGGGCAUAAAAAAAAGAAUAUGAUCAGACUGACUUAUCUUCAGGAGAAGAAAGGGAAACUUUAUGUUUGGUGGUGCUAGACUAAACAAAAGUGGAAAGAUCGGAACAAGAAGCUAUAGUAAAGGUGGCAUUAUAUGGAAACCGGAAGACAGGGUUGGAUAAGUGUAAUAAGAUUUGAGUGAACAAGUUGUAGGUGAUUUCUUAAAUUCUUGUAGAAAAUGUAUCCACUGCAUAUAUGCAUUAUGAAGUCUGGUGACAUUGAUUGAACAAGAAACUCUAAAUAUGCUCAACCUUGAUCCCAAAUUAUAGAGACAAACCUAUUAUCCAUAGUUUUUUUUUGUUUUGUUAAAAUUAAAAUUUAUUAGAUCAAUGAAAUAGAAUUGAUUGAUUGUAUGGA